rnacentral:rRNA from 1 species
UACGUAGGGUGCAGGCGUUAAUCGGAAUUACUGGGCGUAAAGCGUGCGCAGGCGGUUUGCUAAGACAGGUGUGAAAUCCCCGGGCUUAACUUGGGAAUUGCGCUCGAAACUACGUGGCUCGAGUGUGGCAGAGGAAGGUGGAAUUCCACGUGUAGCGGUGAAAUGCGUAGAGAUGUGGAGGAACACCGAUGGCGAAGGCAGCCUUCUGGGCCAACACUGACGCUCAUGCACGAAAGCGUGGGGAGCAAACAGG